rnacentral:rRNA from 1 species
GUAGGGGGCGAACGUUGCUCGGAAUUACUGGGCGUAAAGGGUGUGUAGGUGGCUGAGCAAGUCGUUGAUGAAAUCCCGAGGCUCACCCUCGGAACUGUCUUCGAAACUGCUCAGCUUGAGGAUAGUUGAGGAGAACGGAAUUCCCGGUGGAGCGGUGAAAUGCGUAGAUAUCGGGAGGAACACCAGAGGCGAAGGCGGUUCUCUGGGCUAUUCCUGACACUGAAACACGAAAGCUAGGGGAGCAAACGGGGAUUAGAUACCCCGGUAGUCCUAGCCGUAAACGAUGGGCACUAGAUGUUUCUACUUUGAUGUAGGAGUGUCGAAGCUAACGCGUUAAGUGCCCCGCCUGGGGAGUACGGUCGCAAGGCUG